AUUGAACGCUGGCGGCGUGCUUAACACAUGCAAGUCGAUCGGUAACGCGGGGGCAACCCUGGCGACGAGAGGCGGACGGGUGAGGAACGCUUGGGAAUCUGCCUAUCAGCGGGGGACAACACGGGGAAACUCGUGCUAAUACCGCAUACGCUCUACGGAGGAAAGCCGGGGACCGCAAGGCCUGGCACUGAUAGAUGAGCCCAAGCCGGAUUAGCUAGUUGGCGGGGUAACGGCCCACCAAGGCGAGGAUCCGUAGCUGGUCUGAGAGGACGCUCAGCCACACUGGGACUGAGAAACGGCCCAGACUCCGACGGGAUGCAGAAGUGGGGAAUAUUGGGCGAUGGGGGAAACCCGGAUCCAGCGACACCGCGUGGGUGAAGAAGGCCUGCGGGUUGUAAAGCCAUUUCGGUAGGGACGAAAGCUCUCGACCUAACACGUCGGGAGGUUGACUUAACCUACAAAAGAAGCACCGGCUAACUCUGUGCCAGCAGCCGCCGUAACAC
rnacentral:rRNA from 1 species